UCGAACGAGAGAGAAGGAGCUUGCUUCUUCGAUCGAGUGGCGAACGGGUGAGUAACGCGUGAGGAACCUGGCUCAAAGAGGGGGACAACAGUUGGAAACGACUGCUAAUACCGCAUAAGCCCACGGGUCGGCAUCGACCUGAGGGAAAAGGAGCAAUCCGCUUUGAGAUGGCCUCGCGUCCGAUUAGCUAGUUGGUGAGGUAACGGCCCACCAAGGCGACGAUCGGUAGCCGGACUGAGAGGUUGAACGGCCACAUUGGGACUGAGACACGGCCCAGACUCCUACGGGAGGCAGCAGUGGGGAAUAUUGCACAAUGGGGGAAACCCUGAUGCAGCGACGCCGCGUGGAGGAAGAAGGUCUUCGGAUUGUAAACUCCUGUUGUUGAGGAAGAUAAUGACGGUACUCAACAAGGAAGUGACGGCUAACUACGUGCCAGCAGCCGCGGUAAAACGUAGGUCACAAGCGUUGUCCGGAAUUACUGGGUGUAAAGGGAGCGCAGGCGGGAAGACAAGUUGGAAGUGAAAUCUAUGGGCUCAACCCAUAAACUGCUUUCAAAGCUGUUUUUCUUGAGUAGUGCAGAGGUAGGCGGAAUUCCCGGUGUAGCGGUGGAAUGCGUAGAUAUCGGGAGGAACACCAGUGGCGAAGGCGGCCUACUGGGCACCAACUGACGCUGAGGCUCGAAAGUGUGGGUAGCAAACAGGAUUAGAUACCC
rnacentral:rRNA from 1 species